UGGGGAAUAUUGGACAAUGGGGGCAACCCUGAUCCAGCCAUGCCGCGUGAGUGAUGAAGGCCUUCGGGUUGUAAAGCUCUUUUGGCGGGGGACGAUGAUGACGGUACCCGCAGAAUAAGCCCCGGCUAACUUCGUGCCAGCAGCCGCGGUAAGACGAAGGGGGCUAGCGUUGUUCGGAAUUACUGGGCGUAAAGCGAGUGUAGGCGGUUGCCGUAGUCAGGUGUGAAAGCCUUGAGCUCAACUCAAGAAAUGCACUUGAUACUGGGUGACUAGAGGACCGGAGAGGAUAGUGGAAUUCCCCAGUGUAGUGGUGAAAUACGUAGAGAUUGGGAAGAACACCAGUGGCGAAGGCGGCUAUCUGGACGGUUACUGACGCUAAGACUCGAAAGCGUGGGGAGCAAACAGGAUUAGAUACCCUGGGUAGUCCACGCCGUAAACGAUGGGUGCUAGACGUUGGCGAGCUUGCUCGUCAGUGUCGCAGCUAACGCGUUAAGGCA
rnacentral:rRNA from 1 species